GAAAAAUAACGAUACGGGACUCAUCCGAGGCCCCGUAAUCGGAAUGAGUACACUUUAAAUCCUUUAACGAGUAUCCAUUGGAGGGCAAGUCUGGUGCCAGCAGCCGCGGUAAUUCCAGCUCCAAUAGCGUAUAUUAAAGUUGUUGCGGUUAAAAAGCUCGUAGUUGGACUUGUGUCCCACGCUGUCGGUUCACCGCCCGUCGGUGUUUAACUGACAUGUAUUGUGGGACGUCCUGCCGGUGGUGGCGAGUCGAAGGAGCACGCCUAACGUGGUCCGCCACGGGACGGAGUGCGUCCGGACACGGACCCCGAUGAAAUCCUACCGUGGUGCUCUUCACCGAGUGUCGAGGUGGGCCGGCACGUUUACUUUGAACAAAUUAGAGUGCUUAAAGCAGGCCUGAUGCGCCUGAAUACUGAGUGCAUGGAAUAAUGGAAUAGGACCUCGGUUCUAUUUUGUUGGUUUUCGGAACCCGAGGUAAUGAUUAAUAGGGACAGUCGGGGGCAUUCGUAUUGCGACGUUAGAGGUGAAAUUCUUGGAUCGUCGCAAGACGGACCGAAGCGAAAGCAUUUGCCAAGUAUGUUUUCAUUAAUCAAGAACGAAAGUUAGAGGUUCGAAGGCGAUCAGAUACCGCCCUAGUUCUAACCAUAAACGAUGCCAGCUAGCGAUCCGCCGAAGUUCCUCCGAUGACUCGGCGGGCAGCUCCCGGGAAACCAAAGCUUUUGGGUUCCGGGGGAAGUAUGGUUGCAAAGCUGAAACUUAAAGGAAUUGACGGAAGGGCACCACCAGGAGUGGAGCCUGCGGCUUAAUUUGACUCAACACGGGAAACCUCACCAGGCCCGGACACUGGAAGGAUUGACAGAUUGAGAGCUCUUUCUUGAUUCAGUGGGUGGUGGUGCAUGGCCGUUCUUAGUUGGUGGAGCGAUUUGUCUGGUUAAUUCCGAUAACGAACGAGACUCUAGCCUGCUAAAUAGUCGCAUCCGGUAU
rnacentral:rRNA from 1 species